rnacentral:tmRNA from 2 species
GGGGGCGUAAAUGGUUUCGACGGGGGCAAGUUGCUCCUGAGAAGCGAGUCGAGGGGUCCUGGGCCCGCGUUAAAAAACUGGGAAAAAUUAUAAACGCAGACGAUAAUUUCGUUUUAGCUGCCUAAUUAGUGCAGCUCGUCCUACUUGGGAGUCCCACGACCUAAGAUAGGGCGUCAAUUAGUGGGGAACCGAGCUCUACAAAGCUUUGAGUAGAGAACGGAACUUAUGAAGCUACUGAAUCUAGAAACCUGUUUAUCGGUGUCUAGAGGAGGGAAUGUUAAAAGGUAAACUGCACUCGGAGAUGCUCAGGGGUUACUGCUUUCGGACAGGGGUUCGAUUCCCCUCGCCUCCACCA